UGGAGGCAGCUUCGACUUGAGUUGGGACUCAAAACAGAUGCUGACAUGGCUCAUUUCCUAGUGAUCAGCUGAUGGAAGGAUGGACUCCCCAGGACACACUGCCCAGUACUGCACUUAUACCACUAUGGAAAAUGAGUCCAAGGACAUCAUCAGUGUUGUCACUGUGGACAAGAGACUA